ACAUUACGAUACCAUGAUGGGAAAUUGUGCCCCCCUCUAGGCAAUGUUUGUCGAGUAUUUUCGCGAGUGUGCUUCCAACCAUAUCUAUAUACAUAAACAAAUAAAAUAAUUAGAUUGAUUGUUGAUUAAGUCAAACGAUUUGGGUCUUUAAACCGAAUGACACCACCCACUAUUUUUGGCAAAUUCCAUAUCCCCCAUAAUGGAAUCCGGGAGAUUUCAAAGAAAGCUCCUAGCGGGUUAAUGGGAGGCUCACUAUUACCAAGCCCACCUCACGAUGAUACGAUGUCGGCUAGCAACAAUAAUAAUGAGAGGGUACAAGUACCCAUUCACAACAACCUCUUGUGAUUACCCAUCUUUUUGGCCUCUAGAAAAUAAUACCUCACGAUGAUACGAUGUUGGCAUUAUGUUUCUUAGUUAAGUUCUUUCCCACCAUGCCGGUUUUGCUAGGGGUUCAAGCAUGACCUCACGAUGAUACGAUGUUGGCCACACUCGUUGCCUACCUUAACCUCAUCAAAUGUUUUAAAUAAACUCCUCCUGAAUAUAAGCAUGCACUUUGUCACUUCCCAUGAUGAUAGGGUGAAGGCGGUGUACAAGUCAUAAACGCUUGGAGCCUACCACGGUGGAAGACCACGAAAAAGUGUUCUAAGCACUCUUACGCUUACAACUUAAUAUUGUUUGGUUGAGGGAUUUUAAGGUCUCAUCAAUUUUAUUUAUUUAAUCACAAUCAAAUAAAUUGUCCUAUUAUAACUACUAGUCCAAAGUUAAUGAAUUUAGUAGCAUAUAAUAUCCCCACUAUUCGUUUUCAUAAAACAAAUCAAUAUCAAAACAUUUUUCAAAAUAUUGGAGAUAUAUAUAUAACUACUAAUUGUAUUCAUUAUAGUCUAGUAGCGUAUGAUACUCCCACUAUUUGUUUUGAGAAAAACAAAUCAAUAUCAAAAACGAAUUUUUCAAAUAUUGGAAGUAACUACUACUACUAAGGUUUUUGCAUUCCUUUGAAUUUGAACUUUAUAGUUAUCUUAGGCUCUUGGAUGACUAUGGACUUAUUAGGUUAUUGCAACAACGAGCCAUCAUUGUUG
rnacentral:lncRNA from 1 species